GCUCAUGUAGCUCAGGGGUAGAGCACACCCUUGGUAAGGGUGAGGUCGACGGUUCAAUUCCGUCCAUGAGCU
rfam:Halomonas sp. QHL1 Scaffold1, whole genome shotgun sequence.